rnacentral:rRNA from 1 species
CGAGGGGUAGAAGGAGCUUGCUCCUUUGAGACCGGCGCACGGGUGCGUAACGCGUAUGCAAUCUACCUUGUACAGGGGGAUAGCCCAGAGAAAUUUGGAUUAAUACCUCAUAGUAUAUUGAAAUGGCAUCAUUUUAAUAUUAAAGUUCCAACGGUACAAGAUGAGCAUGCGUCCCAUUAGUUAGUUGGUAAGGUAACGGCUUACCAAGACAAUGAUGGGUAGGGGUCCUGAGAGGGAGAUCCCCCACACUGGUACUGAGACACGGACCAGACUCCUACGGGAGGCAGCAGUGAGGAAUAUUGGACAAUGGGCGCAAGCCUGAUCCAGCCAUGCCGCGUGCAGGAAGACGGCCCUAUGGGUUGUAAACUGCUUUUAUACAGGAAGAAACCUCUCUACGUGUAGAGACUUGACGGUACUGUAGGAAUAAGGAUCGGCUAACUCCGUGCCAGCAGCCGCGGUAAUACGGAGGAUCCAAGCGUUAUCCGGAAUCAUUGGGUUUAAAGGGUCCGUAGGCGGCCUUAUAAGUCAGUGGUGAAAUCUCCUAGCUCAACUAGGAAACUGCCAUUGAUACUGUAGGGCUUGAAUUAUUAGGAAGUAACUAGAAUAUGUAGUGUAGCGGUGAAAUGCUUAGAUAUUACAUGGAAUACCAAUUGCGAAGGCAGGUUACUACUAAUCAAUUGACGCUGAGGGACGAAAGCGUGGGUAGCGAA